CCUACGUGAGGCUGCAGUGGGGAAUAUUGCGCAAUGGGCGAACGCCUGACGCAGCGACGCCGCGUGAGGGAUGAAGGUCUUCGGAUCGUAAACCUCUGUCAGCAGGGAAGAACGGUCACUGUGCUAAUCAGCAGUGAAUUGACGGUACCUGCAAAGGAAGCACCGGCUAACGACGUGCCAGCAGCCGCGGUAAUACGGAGGGUGCGAGCGUUAAUCGGAAUUACUGGGCGUAAAGCGCUCGUAGGCGGUAUGUCAAGUCAAGGGUGAAAUCCCCGCGCUCAACGUGGGAACUGCCUUUGAAACUGGCAAACUGGAGUGUGUGAGAGGAUAGCGGAAUUCCAGGUGUAGGAGUGAAAUCCGGAGAUAUCUGGAGGAACAUCAGUGGCGAAGGCGACUAUCUGGCACAUAACUGACGCUGAGGAGCGAAAGCGUGGGUAGCAAACAGGAUUAGAUACCCCGGUAGUC
rnacentral:rRNA from 1 species